rnacentral:tRNA from 1 species
GCCUGGGUGGCUCAGUCGGUUGAGCGUCCGACUUCGGAUCGGGUCAUGAUCUCGCGGUUCGUGAGUUCGAGCCCCGCGUCGGGCC